AUUGAACGCUGGCGGCAGGCCUAACACAUGCCAGUCGAGCGGAUGAAGGGAGCUUGCUCCUGGAUUCAGCGGCGGACGGGUGGGUAAUGCCUAGGAAUCUGCCUGGUAGUGGGGGAUAACGUCCGGUAACGGGCGCUAAUCCCGCAUACGUCCUGAGGGAGAAAGUGGGGGAUCUUCGGACCUCACGCUAUCAGAUGAGCCUAGGUCGGAUUAGCUAGUUGGUGGGGUAAAGGCCUACCAAGGCGACGAUCCGUAACUGAUCUGAGAGGAUGAUCAGUCACACUGGAACUGAGACACGGUCCAGACUCCUACGGGAGGCAGCAGUGGGGAAUAUUGGACAAUGGGCGAAAGCCUGAUCCAGCCAUGCCGCGUGUGUGAAGAAGGUCUUCGGAUUGUAAAGCACUUUAAGUUGGGAGGAAGGGCAGUAAGUUAAUACCUUGCUGUUUUGACGUUACCAACAGAAUAAGCACCGGCUAACUUCGUG
rnacentral:rRNA from 1 species